UUCUUUCUGGUGCUUGCCACAGGCUGUGUUUUUCAUCCCAACUGUAUAGAAAGAGGAGUCACAGUAUCCCACCCCAUAUACACCUCAGCCCAGAAACUUUGCCUGGUCUCAUUAUAAGUGGGGAGACAUGU